rnacentral:rRNA from 1 species
UACGAAGGGGGCUAGCGUUGCUCGGAAUCAUUGGGCGUAAAGCGCACGUAGGCGGUCUGUUAUGUCGGAUGUGAAAGCCCUUGGCUUAACUGAGGAAGUGCACUCGAAACUUCCGAGCUGGAGUCCUGGAGAGGAAGGCGGAAUUCUCGGUGUAGAGGUGAAAUUCGUAGAUAUCGAGAGGAACACCUGUGGCGAAAGCGGCUCUCUGGACCACAACUGACGCUGAGGCGCGAAAGCUAGGGGAGCAAACAGG